rnacentral:rRNA from 1 species
AGAGUUUGAUCCUGGCUCAGAAUAAACGCUGGCGGCGUGCCUAACACAUGCAAGUCGAACGAGAAAGCCAUGACUUCGGUUGGGCGAGUAAAGUGGCGCACGGGUGAGUAACGCGUAGGCAACCUACCCUUGAAUUUGGGAUAACAGUGCGAAAGUGCUGCUAAUACCGGAUACGACCCUUUUGUGCUGGGCGAAAGGGUGAAAGUCGGCCACUGGAACAAGCCGACGUUCGGGGAUGGGCCUGCGUCCUAUCAGCUGGUUGGUAGGGUAACGGCCUACCAAGGCGACGACGGGUAGCUGGUCUGAGAGGAUGAUCAGCCACACUGGCACUGGAACACGGGCCAGACUCCUACGGGAGGCAGCAGUGAGGAAUUUUGCGCGAUGGCCGCAAGGCUGACGCAGCAACGCCGCGUGGGUGAAGAAGGCCUUCGGGUCGUAAAGCCCUGUCAGGUGGGAAGAACGACACGGGGAGGAAUAUGCUCUGUGAGUGACGGUACCACCAGAGGAAGCACCGGCUAACUCCGUGCCAGCAGCCGCGGUAAUACGGAGGGUGCGAGCGUUAUUCGGAAUUACUGGGCGUAAAGCGCGUGUAGGCGGCCAACCAAGUCUGAUGUGAAAGCCCUGGGCUUAACCUGGGAAGUGCAUUGGAAACUGGCUGGCUUGAGUACUGGAGAGGAAGGGGGAAUUCCCGGUGUAGAGGUGAAAUUCGUAGAGAUCGGGAGGAAUACCAGUGGCGAAGGCGCCCUUCUGGACGGUUACUGACACUGAGACGCGAAAGCGUGGGGAGCAAACAGGGUUAGAUACCCUGGUAGUCCACGCUGUAAACGA